GAAGUGGCGGUGGAGGAGGAGGAGGUAGCCAACACUGUUUAUAUAUAUCUAUUUUUUAUUUUAAUUAGGGUAGCCCCCAAAAUAUUGGGACAUACAAAUAAAGAAACAUUUGCGGCCCGUGGUGCAUUUCUUUCAGUCCUGAUGCAUGGAGAAAUGCUCAACUCCUGAUGCAUGGAGAAGCCCCCAAAAUAUAUAAAAAAGGACAACUCUGUUCCACAGAGUAGCUGUUGACAUUAUAGUUGCGCAGACUUUGUUGACUCUAGAGAACCGCGGGCCAAUCGCACAUCCCUGUGAUGGCGACUUUGCAUUCGGAUGUCAUCCAUAUCAACUUUCGAUGCCAGUUUCUGCGCCUACCAUGGUGACCACGGGUAACAGGGAAUCAGGGUUUCAUUCCGUACAGGGACCCUGAGAAACGGCUACCACAUGCAAGGAAGGCAGCAGGCGCGCAAAUGACCCAUUCCCGAUGCGGGAAGGUA